UCUGAUCCAGGGACGAAAAAGUUAGAGGGAAUUCUCUGAAGAGCUUGAAUGCUUGGUGUGGGUCCAGCCCAGCUGUUGUCCCGAGAGCUGUUCAGUGGCCGCCCAGGCCCUUGUUUGGUUAGCAAGUGUCAAUGUGUGUAAAUAAACUCAAGUUUGCCAGAAUCUGAGCAACUGGACCUGUCCAGUCUUUCAACGUGUCGCCACGAUCAUUCGAACCAUCGAGAUCACCUCCAUCGACUCAAUCUUAACUGCCUGAUUACGUAACCAUACCACGUCAUCACGAAGACACAAAUUGCCAGAUCUGUGACAUCAUGCGACGUCAUGUCACAUGACGACGUCAUCACAUGACAUGCUACUUUGUCAAAGGUGGGCCGAUCACGGAUACAGUGCAAAAACCACGACGUCAGCACCGACGAGUACUCCUGAUGCUUCAAGAGUCGGGGAUCUCGGCACAUAAAAUGAAAAAAGCGUUUCCGCCUUGCCCACAAUGCACUGUUGCAGCUUCAUUCGACGUUCAUUUCAGCUCUUAUAUGAACAUAUUUCUCGUCGGUUGUUGCUUGUCACUGUUCACUUUCUGCGUCGAGUUAACUUUUAAGCGCUGGCCACGCUUUAUCCCUGAGUACUUGGCUUUCGUUAGGCCAUGAAUACCUGGAAAAUGAGCGCUGAAGCGCUUCUCGCGAAUGCUAAUCAGCGGUAAUUCCAAUCGACACUAUGUUUAAGAAAAAUUGCGCCCACGUGUUUUGCUGCUCACAAGGGCUCACGAAAACAGGUGAAAGGAGCGUAGUGAAAGUAAUUUCUUCAGCUCCGUACAAACUGCGCGUACUGUGCAAGAAAGCAAAUGAUGAGCAAGUGUCGCAGAAAAAGUGCGAGGUAAAGCAUAAGUAUAAAUAUGUAGAACGCUCUACUGGAGUAGUUUAUGAAAUACCUCUUACGUGUGGUAGGACAUACGUCGGCCAAACCGGCGAAUGCCUUAACAAAAGGCAAAUUUGUUAGGUAAGCUGAUGAUUUCUGGCACUUUAGCAGCACACUGCUCUAACUGUGUGUGCACACCAUGUUUUAAGAAGACAAAGAAGCUAGCACACACCGGCGAAUGCCCUAACAAAAGGCAAAUUUGGUAGGUAAGCUGAUGAUUUCUGGCACUUUAGCAGCACACUGCUCUAACUGUGUGUGCACACCAUGUUUUAAGAAGACAAAGUAGCUAGCACACACCGGCGAAUGCCUUAACAAAAGGCAAAUUUGGUAGGUAAGCUGAUGAUUUCUGGCACUUUAGCAGCACACUGCUCUACCUGUGUGUGCACACCAUGUUUUAAGAAGACAAAGAAGCUAGCACACACCGGCGAAUGCCUUAACAAAAGUCAAAUUGGGUAGGUAAGCUGAUGAUUUCUGGCACUUUAGCAGCACACUGCUCUAACUGUGUGUGCACACCAUGUUUUAAGAAGACAAAGUAGCUAGCACACACCGGCGAAUGCCUUAACAAAAGGCAAAUUUGGUAGGUAAGCUGAUGAUUUCUGGCACUUUAGCAGCACACUGCUCUAACUGUGUGUGCACACCAUGUUUUAAGAAGACAAAGUAGCUAGCACACACCGGCGAAUGCCUUAACAAAAGGCAAAUUUGGUAGGUAAGCUGAUGAUUUCUGGCACUUUAGCAGCACACUGCUCUAACUGUGUGUGCACACCGUGUUUUAAGAAGACAAAGAAGCUAGCACACACCGGCGAAUGCCUUAACAAAAGGCAAAUUUGGUAGGUAAGCUGAUGAUUUCUGGCACUUUAGCAGCACACUGCUCUAACUGUGUGUGCACACCAUGUUUUAAGAAGACAAAGAAGCUAGCACACACCGGCGAAUGCCCUAACAAAAGGCAAAUUUGGUAGGUAAGCUGAUGAUUUCUGGCACUUUAGCAGCACACUGCUCUAACUGUGUGUGCACACCAUGUUUUAAGAAGACAAAGUAGCUAGCACACACCGGCGAAUGCCUUAACAAAAGGCAAAUUUGGUAGGUAAGCUGAUGAUUUCUGGCACUUUAGCAGCACACUGCUCUACCUGUGUGUGCACACCAUGUUUUAAGAAGACAAAGAAGCUAGCACACACCGGCGAAUGCCUUAACAAAAGUCAA